rnacentral:tRNA from 1 species
GGGGCCGUAGCUGAGCAGGGAGAGCGUCGCGUUCGCAAUGCGAAGGUCGGGAGUUCUAUCCUCCUCGGCUCCACCA